GAAGGGAGAGGGAGGAGGAUGAAGUGGAGGAGGCCUCUUUCCUGUGCCUGGCUUGCGGUGGGGUUGGCGAUGCCCAGCCAACUUCAUGCAGCAGGCUGGAGGAGGUCGUGCUAGCCGGUGGGGGAAUUUCCUGUUUCCCAGGCAUGGGACUUGUUCAGUGUUCCCGAAUCACUCACCUUUUCUGCCACAUUCCUUCUCCUCUCAUGUUAAAUUUGUACUCGCUAAAUGAUUACAAGCCACCUAUUUCCAAAGCUAAAAUGACACAGAUCACCAAGGCAGCAAUCAAGGCUAUAAAGUUCUACAAACACGUUGUGCAGAGUGUUGAGAAAUUCAUUCAGAAGUGCAAACCAGAAUACAAGGUGCCUGGUCUCUAUGUCAUUGACUCCAUUGUGAGACAGUCCCGACAUCAGUUUGGGCAAGAAAAGGAUGUGUUUGCUCCAAGAUUUAGCAAUAACAUCAUCAGCACUUUCCAGAACUUGUAUCGUUGCCCUGGGGAUGACAAGAGUAAAAUUGUUAGAGUGCUAAAUUUAUGGCAGAAGAAUAAUGUGUUUAAGAGUGAAAUUAUUCAGCCUCUCUUGGAUAUGGCAGCAGGAAUUCCUCCUCCAGUUGUGACCCCAGUCUUGCCCAGCACUACAGCUGCUAUGAGCAACAAUACACCAGGAACACCUGUGACUCCAGUUACUCCAGCCAAUGUGGUGCAGAGUUUACCUGAUCCUUGGGUAUCUCAAAUUGCUAAUACAGAUACACUUGCUGCUGUAGCACAAAUUUUACAAAGUCCCCAAGGCCAGCAGCUUCAGCAGUUAAUACAGACACUGCAGAUACAACAGCAGAAACCUCAGCCUUCACUACUUCAAGCCCUGGAUGCUGGUCUUGUUGUUCAGUUACAGGCCCUCACUGCACAGCUUACAGCUGCUGCUGCUGCUGCCAACACACUUAAUCCACUGGAACAGAGUGUCUCUUUUAAUAAGAAGCUGAUGGACAGGUUUGACUUUGGGGAAGAAUCUGAACAAAGUGAAGAGCCUAAAAAGGAAACUCCCACUUCCCAACUGCCUUUAGUACCAGAAUCUGUGAACAACUCACUUUUUCAUCAACUAGCUGAACAACUACAGCAACAAAACUUGGAACAUCUCAGACAACAGCUUCUGGAGCAACAGCAGCCUCAAAAGGCAAGCCCUGAGGAAAAUCCGGAGGGAAAUUUUGGCUCAGAGCACUCUGCAUCACCUUCGCAAGGGAGUAGUCAACAGCAGUUUUUAGAAGUGGAAACAAAUGUAGAUGAUUCAAUGGAUAUUCAGCAACAGGACAUGGAUAUAGAUGAAGGACAAGAUGUGGCUGAAGAGGAGAUUUUUGAACAAGAAGAAAAGAAAUCAGCUGUUCGUUCAAGAUCAAGAACACGUUCAAGAUCUCGUUCAAGGUCACCAAGAAAACGAAGGUCUAGAUCAAGAUCUGGUUCUCGUAAGCGUAAACACAGAAAACGUUCACGCUCAAGAUCGAGAGAAAGGAAGAGAAAGUCAUCUCGGUCAUACUCCAGUGAAAGAAGGGCUAGGGAAAGGGAAAAGGAACGUCAGAAAAAGGGAUUACCUCCUAUACGGUCAAAAACACUAAGUGUUUGCAGUACUACUCUUUGGGUAGGUCAAGUAGACAAGAAGGCUACACAGCAGGAUUUAACCAAUUUGUUUGAAGAAUUUGGACAAAUAGAAUCUAUUAAUAUGAUUCCCCCAAGAGGUUGUGCUUAUGUCUGCAUGGUUCAUAGACAAGAUGCAUAUCGUGCUCUUCAGAAACUUAGUUCUGGGUCCUAUAAAAUUGGAUCUAAAAUUAUUAAGAUUGCCUGGGCUUUAAAUAAAGGUGUGAAAACGGAGUACAAGCAGUUCUGGGAUGUGGAUCUGGGAGUUUCGUAUAUCCCUUGGGAGAAAGUAAAAUUGGAUGAUUUGGAUGGCUUUGCUGAAGGUGGUAUGAUUGACCAGGAGACAGUAAAUACUGAAUGGGAAACAGCCAGAAGCUCAGAAGCUGCUAAAGAAAAUAUUCAAACUACGCAGAGUACUUCAGUUGAUAAGAGCACAGUUAUUACAACGCAGACAGAAGCUUACACGCAACCAGUCACUAUGCUGCAGAUUCCGGUAGCUCCAGCUGUGCCUGCUGUUAGCUUAGUUCCACCUGCGUUUCCUGUCACGAUGUCUGUCCCUCCUCCUGGUUAUAGCGCAAUUCCUCCUCCACCUUUCUUGCGAGCAAGUUUCAACCCGUCACAACCCCCUCCAGGUUUUAUGCCUCCGCCAGUUCCACCUGUCCCACCACCUGUUGUCCCGCCACCUGUUGUCCCACCGGUAGUUCCAACACCUUUAGUACAGCCUCCAUUACCAAUUACGCAAGAGGCGAUGAAAGAUGUUCCUUUUACUAGCCUUGUUCUACCAGUUGGCACAGUUAGUAGCAAUAUAGCCACUCCAACGUUAUCUACUGGAAGCGUUUUUAAUCCUCUUCCAAGCAGCAAAGCAGAAUCAGAUGAAAAAGGCUCACAUCUUACAGACCUUCAGAUUUCUUCCAGUGAAAACAGUAGAUCUGUGCAAAAUGAUGUCUCGAGUAGCUCUGGACUUGUUGGAGGAGUGCAGCCACCCAGCGUUUCAAGCAGUUCUGGGCUUACCGGAGAAGGGCAGCCACCCAGUGUCUCAAGUAACUCUGGAAUUGCAGGGGGAGUACAACCACCAAAUGUCUCAAGCAGCUCUGGACUUGUGGGAGGAGUACAACCACCAACUGUUACAAGCAGUCCUGGUCUUACAGGAGGAGUGCAGCUACCCAGCGUCUCCAGUACCUCUUCUCUUACAGGAGGAGUUCAGCCAACCAGCGUCUCAAAUAGCUCUGGACUUAUGGCUGGAGUGCCACAACCAAAUGUCUCAAGUAGCUCAGGGCUUCUAGCUGGAGUGCAUCCACCCAGUGUCUCGAGCAGCCCUGGGCUUUUGACGGGAAUGCAGCCACCUAUUGUCUCAAGCAGUUCAGGACUUCUGGCAGGAGUGCAGCCGCCCAGUGUCUCAAGCAGCUCUGGGCUUCUCAUAAUGCCACCACCCAAUGUUUCAAGUAGUUCUGGACUUAUGGGAGUGCCACCACCAAAUAUUUCAAAUAGUUCUGGACUUCUGGCAAUGCAGCAUCCAGCUGGGGUUCAAAAUAUGCCUCAUUUAAAUAUUAGCAAUCAAAGGAUGCCGGGAAUGCCUAUUUUAGAUAUCCGUCCAGGCCUAAUGCCCCAUUCACCUGGACCAAGAUUUCCAUUAAUGCAACCUGGAAUACCUCCGCAGCGCAGUAUUCCUCCUCCAGCAAUCCUUGAUCCAUCUCUUCACCCACCACCUCGAGGUCCUUUUCCCCCAGGAGAUAUUUUUAAUCAAACAGAAAGACCUUUUGGAACACCAGGAAGACAAAAUAUUGAUAGCAUUGCUAAUUCAGAGAAAAGACUCCCGCUUGGAGGCGAUAACAUUCAACAGGAAGGAGACAGAGAUUAUCGCUUUCCUCCAGUAGAAAACAGAGAUAAUCUUAACAGACCAUCCCCAGUGGACAUUAGAGAUUCUGUUGGACGACCACCUAUUGAUCCAAGAGAGGGUAUAGGAAGACCUCCAGUGGAUGGAAGAGAACAUUUUGCAAGACCACAUGUAGACAUGAGAGAGAAUUUUGGAAGACCAGGUAUAGAUAAUCUUGGUCGAAGGGAGCAUUUUGGUUUCAAUUCAGAGAAGCACUGGGGACAGAGAGGAGAUUACGAUGAAAGAGAGCACCAUGCCUUCCCUAUUUAUGGUGGUCCUAAAGGCUUCCAUGAAGACAGAGAGAGGUUUCGGCAUGUAAACUAUAGGUUUGACAGUAGAAGUGGUCCCAAUUGGAAUAGAGGAUUUGAACAAGAUGCUCACAGAGAUUUUGAUGACCGCAGAAGACCCUGGGAAAGACAGAGGGAUAGAGAUGACAGAGAUUUUAAUUUUUGCCGAGAAAUUAAUGGAAACAGGUUUGGAAGAGACAGAAUGUCAAACAACUGGAUCCCCCCUCCGCAUCCAAGGGUUUUUGAAUAUUUUGAUGGGGCCACUUCGCAACGCAAAGCUGAUAAUAUGCCCCAGGUAAAUGGUGAAAAUACAGAGACAGAAAGUCAGCCACCAGCUGUGCAGGUGCAGGACGAUCCAGAACUUUAUGAAAAACUGACAUCUUCCAGCGAGAUAAACAAAGAGAAGAGUGACACAGAAGCUGAUAUAGAAAGUGAACCAGUGGUAGAAAGCACAGAAACUGAGGGGACAUAAUCAUCACUCAGUAGGAGCUGAACGGAUAUAACCUAUUCAGAAUAUCAGGAGUCACCAAGAAUAACUAGGACAAUUUUUCAUUAUUGUUUAUUAAGGCAAGAUGAAGGAAGUUCUGGCAGCUUACCAUGUCCCGGGCUCUGCAGAGUUAAGUGAGAAGUGCUCCAAUGCGCUAGUUUGCAUCACCUUGCGGGGCUGACGUGCUAGAAGGAUCCCAGCGCUGCAGACUGAGACGGCUCUGAGCACCUCAGUACCCCAUUUCUGCUAGAACCCAGGGAUGGCAAAUUUACAUACCAGUAUUACCUGUCUGGAGCAGGUUUAAUUUUAUAAAUUAAAACCAUAAACUCUAUGAGUUUCUAGACCAUAUUUGUGCUGUUGAGGAUGAUCUGCUCAGAUGAACAGUUUUGCGUCCAUCGGAGAGACAGGUUCUUCUGCUGGACCAGAAGAUGACAGUGGACUGUAUAUUGUAACUAACAUCAUUUGUAGCAUCUCCUAGUGGAAAUAAUUGAAGAACAGGUUGCAAGAAAAUCCUUUAGGGAAUAAGAUAUGUUUUGUUUUGAUCUACCAAUUUUAAAAAGUUUUGUUUUGUUUUUUAAAGAUAACCACUUUUACAUAACACUACAUGUGCAGUCCGUGUGCAGCUCUUCACUUGUGGCUAUAUUCCAGAGAUGAUGAAUUCCUUAUGAGACACCUGAACCUUUUUAGAUUUGUGAUGAACCCUUAAAUUAUCAAAGUAUCAUGAAAAAUAGAAAGUUAAGUUCCAGGGCUUUUAUUUGACUUGUUAGUGUCCUGGAAGGCAGAGGACAGAGCUGGAAGUAGUAAUGAAAUACAAAAUGAUAUAUUGCAUUUCUUUUUUGGCAUAUGCACCUACCAGAAUGUGUGUUUGGUCUAAUAACCAAGGGAAGAGAAACAGCUUAACUCAUCUGAGCCCUCACAGGAAAAUUCUUCAUUUUAGGGCAAUAUUUGCUCAUUUGGUCUCCUGAAUAGCUAUAGAAAAGAAGGAAUAUAUAUAUGCCUCUCCAUAUGUGAAAAGGACAUACUUGCCAUUCCUUUAUUUAUUUUUGCUCUUUCAAAAAUUAAAGUGCCAGUUAUUUGGAAUGCUGUAGUCUGUGGUCUCUUUAAAUUUGGUUAGUGAGAUCCUUUCAGCAAGAUCAUUCCCAUUAUGGUGUAACUGCAUGGUGACCACAGCUUUGGGCCUGUAUAAUAAAGAUCUGAAUUCAAAA